UACAGAGGGUGCAAGCGUUGUUCGGAAUUAUUGGGCGUAAAGCGCGUGUAGGCGGACUGGUGUGUCGGAUGUGAAAUCCCCAGGCUCAACCUGGGAACUGCAUCCGAUACUGGAUGGCUUGAAUCCGGGAGAGGGAUGCGGAAUUCCAGGUGUAGCGGUGAAAUGCGUAGAUAUCUGGAGGAACACCGGUGGCGAAGGCGGUUCUCUGGGCAUGUCCUGACGCUGAGGAGCGAAAGUGUGGGGAGCGAACAGG
rnacentral:rRNA from 1 species